AACGCGAAGAACCUUACCUGGGCUUGAACCGCUACUGACCAACGGUAGAAAUAUCGUCUUCCCGCAAGGGACAGUAGUAGAGGUGCUGCAUGGCUGUCGUCAGCUCGUGCCGUGAGGUGUUGGGUUAAGUCCCGCAACGAGCGCAACCCUUAUUCGUAGUUGCCACCCGCAAGGGGGAACUCUACGAGGACUGCUCCGGAUAACGGAGAGGAAGGUGGGGAUGACGUCAAGUCAGCACGGCCUUUAUGUCCAGGGCUACACACGUGUUACAAUGCGCGGCACAGACUGUUGCGAACCCGCGAGGGGGAGCUAAUCGGAAAAAACCGCGCUCAGUUCGGAUUGCAGUCUGCAACUCGACUGCAUGAAGCUGGAAUCGCUAGUAAUGGCGUAUCAGAUCGACGCCGUGAAUACGUUCCCGGGCCUUGUACACACCGAUACUC
rnacentral:rRNA from 1 species